CSSAKKYGUUUUKAAUCAUGGCUCAGGACGAACGCUGGCGGCGUGCCUAMUACAUGCAAGUCGAGCGGACAGAUGGGAGCUUGCUCCCUGAUGUUAGCGGCGGACGGGUGAGUAACACGUGGGUAACCUGCCUGUAAGACUGGGAUAACUCCGGGAAACCGGGGCUAAUACCGGAUGGUUGUUUGAACCGCAUGGUUCAGACAUAAAAGGUGGCUUCGGCUACCACUUACAGAUGGACCCGCGGCGCAUUAGCUAGUUGGUGAGGUAACGGCUCACCAAGGCRACGAUGCGUAGCCGACCUGAGAGGGUGAUCGGCCACACUGGGACUGAGACACGGCCCAGACUCCUACGGGAGGCAGCAGUAGGGAAUCUUCCGCAAUGGACGAAAGUCUGACGGAGCAACGCCGCGUGAGUGAUGAAGGUUUUCGGAUCGUAAAGCUCUGUUGUUAGGGAAGAACAAGUGCCGUUCAAAUAGGGCGGCACCUUGACGGUACCUAACCAGAAAGCCACGGCUAACUACGUGCCAGCAGCCGCGGUAAUACGUAGGUGGCAAGCGUUGUCCGGAAUUAUUGGGCGUAAAGGGCUCGCAGGCGGUSUCUUAAGUCUGAUGYGAAAGCCCCCGGCUCAACCGGGGAGGGUCAUUGGAAACUGGGGAACUUGAGUGCAGAAGAGGAGAGUGGAAUUCCACGUGUAGCGGUGAAAUGCGUAGAGAUGUGGAGGAACACCAGUGGCGAAGGCGACUCUCUGGUCUGUAACUGACGCUGAGGAGCGAAAGCGUGGGGAGCGAACAGGAUUAGAUACCCUGGUAGUCCACGCCGUAAACGAWGRGUGCUAAGUGUUAGGGGGUUUCCGCCCCUUAGUGCUGCAGCUAACGCAUUAAGCAYUCCGCCUGGGU
rnacentral:rRNA from 1 species